GACGAACGCUGGCGGCGUGCUUAACACAUGCAAGUCGAGCGGUAAGGCCCUUUCGGGGGUACACGAGCGGCGAACGGGUGAGUAACACGUGGGUGACCUGCCCUCAGCUCUGGGAUAAGCCUGGGAAACCGGGUCUAAUACUGGAUAUGACUCCAUGACGCAUGUUGUGGGGUGGAAAGCCUUGUGCGGCUGAGGAUGGGCCCGCGGCCUAUCAGCUUG
rnacentral:rRNA from 1 species